GCAAUUUGUGACGUGCGCGUAAUGUUUGCGUUCGGAUUUUUGACGACCCCGCGCAAAACUACAUCUAGAAGCGGCACGGAGCGCGUAACUGGAUGCGCGCAAUAGAUCCAAUCCGCUAAUCCGGCGAUUGUCACUCGGACAGGUGCUUGUUAUUUGCGCGGAUCAGUUGAAGGGUUUCAGUUGGAAAUAAACAGUGAUUUGGUCAUCAAUCUUUAUUGCCAAGACCUCGCCUGUAACACGAGCAAUUGAGCAAGACAAGACCGUUGAAGUAAGGUCAAACAUAUAUAUGCAGUAAUUGAGUGUCGUGCUCCAAGGUGCUGCCGUGAAUGUUCGUUUGACAAAAAGGUUUUCCCGAGAUUUCCACCAAAACGAGGCCGUUCACCGACCAGUUGUGUGGUCCACGAAAAUUGGUGAAAUCAGUUCAGGCGUGCGCAAUCUAUUGCUCAUGCAAAAAUCCGAAGGCGGAUUAGUUAACAGACCAUAAGAGAUGAAUCCCAACUUACAACAAGGACUUCACAGUAAGAUGCUAACUGCCAGCAAUCAAGGAAUGCCCCGGCCACUUUGCGCAGGAUGCAAGAAAAGCAUCGAGGAUCGUUUUCUGCUGAAAGCCAUCGAUCGGGUCUGGCACGAGGACUGCCUCAAAUGCGCGUGCUGCGAUUGUCGCUUGGGCGAAGUUGGCGCAACUCUUUACACGAAAGCAAACUUGAUCCUGUGUAAGCGAGAUUAUCUGAGGCUUUUUGGUCGGACUGGUUUCUGUCCUGCGUGCGAGAAGACAAUCCCAGCGUUUGAAAUGGUGAUGCGGGUACAGGACUUGGUAUAUCAUCUGGACUGUUUUGCAUGCUAUCGCUGCCAUCAUCGGUUCUGUGUUGGGGACAAAUACUUUCUUGAAAAUAAAAAGAUAUUCUGUACGAUGCAUCGACCUGUUGCGUGAACUCAAUUUGAAUUGUAAACGAAGUCGCGGAGAGAGUGAGGCGUUGUGUCUGCACGCGCUGGUCAAUUUAUGGUAGUAAAAAACUAAUGAUGUCCAGAAGUUACUAAUGUAUGUGCUCCUCUAGAGUAAGGUUAUACAAAGCCCGUAGGCUUGAGCGGUGAAGUCAGUCACAUUCUUGUAAAGAAGUUGACCUAAAUAUUAUGUACUAAAUAUUAUCUGUAUUUGCUUUUCAAUCGUCUACGAGUUUUGUAGAACGGGCUCCUCAAUAUAAGUCAAGAUAAAUAAGUUAUAUGAAAGUUAUAAUUUUGUCAUUCUAAUAACAGUCUUUCACUGAAGCGACCAAUGUAUACUCAACCUAUGCAGUUAUUAAACAGAAAUAAGCAUGGAAUAAUAUGGAAAUUUAAAGAUGGAUGGUUCAUUUCCAGUCGCGUGUAAAUAGUUCACCCGGGGGUCCACUCACUAAAUAUAGCCAAAGGCUAUGAAAUAAAGAAUACCAUGUAUAGUUUUCCGAGAAAUUACUCUGUUUCAUCUAACUAACGAUUCAGAUGUACUAUAACUAUAUAAAUAUAAGUAAUAUUGACCAGGGAUUUACGUGGAAAAUGUAAAAUAAAUUCAAU
rnacentral:lncRNA from 1 species